GUGCAGCAGGCGAGAAUUUUUCUCAAUGGGGGCAACCCUGAAGGAGUGACGCCGCGUGGAGGAUGAAGGCUUUCGGGUUGUAAACUCCUGUCAUUUGAGAACAAGUGUAGCCAAAUAACUACUGGCUACUUGAUAGUAUCAGAAGAGGAAGGGACGGCUAACUCUGUGCCAGCAGCCGCGGUAAUACAGAGGUCCCAAGCGUUGUUCGGAUUCAUUGGGCGUAAAGGGUGCGUAGGUGGCGCCGUAAGUGGGGUGUGAAAUUUCGGAGCUUAACUCCGAAACUGCAUUCCAUACUGCGGUGCUUGAGGACUGGAGAGGAGACUGGAAUUCAUGGUGUAGCAGUGAAAUGCGUAGAGAUCAUGAGGAAGACCAGUGGCGAAGGCGGGUCUCUGGACAGUUCCUGACACUGAGGCACGAAGGCUAGGGGAGCGAACGGGAUUAGAUACCCCUGUAGU
rnacentral:rRNA from 1 species